AACAACAGGUGGAGAUCCCGCACUCACCGAUCUCUUAACCGGCCGAUGAUCCUCCGAACCAUCGUAACCCCGAUGGUCGUAACCGCCGCAUUUCCUCUUGAGCGUCGAGUUCCAGUGAUUCUUCACGGCGUUGUCCGUACGACCGUUGAGAAGACGAGCAAUCGUCGCCCAUUUAUUACCGAACUGAGCGUGAGCACGUGCGAUCGUCUCGUCUUCCUCAGCCGAAAACGGCCGAUGCUCAACUUGCGGCGAAAGCUG